CGUGAGUGAAGAAGGCCCUCGGGUCGUAAAGCUCUGUCAAGUGGGAAAAAAGUCUUUUGAUCAAUAGUCAAAAGGCCUGAUGGUACUACUAGAGGAAGCACCGGCUAACUCCGUGCCAGCAGCCGCGGUAAUACGGAGGGUGCAAGCGUUGUUCGGAAUUACUGGGCGUAAAGAGCGUGUAGGCGGUAUGGUAAGUCAGAUGUGAAAGCCCUGGGCUCAACCCAGGAAGUGCAUUUGAUACUGCCAUUCUUGAGUAUGGGAGAGGAGAGUGGAAUUCCCAGUGUAGAGGUGAAAUUCGUAGAUAUUGGGAGGAACACCCGUGGCGAAGGCGACUCUCUGGACCAAUACUGACGCUGAGACGCGAAAGCGUGGGGAGCAAACAGGAUUAGAUACCCUGGUAGUCCACGCCGUAAACGAUGAGAACUAGGUGUAGCGGGUAUUGACCCCUGCUGUGCCGGAGUUAACGCAUUAA
rnacentral:rRNA from 1 species